CUUCACAAAUUCUAAAAGCAAUCGCAUUGAAACAGAUGCAUCAUUUUUUUCGAGAUAUUUUACGGUAUAUUGACAAAUUUCUGAUUUGAACAAGCUUUUCACUCCUCUCGACACAGGGAGCUUUAGCAGAGCCUACGAGUACGAGUACGAAUUACGUCAUUUUGGCGCGAAAACAUUGUUGCGAUAACAACAACACGUAGCCGUCAUCAAUAUGAUGUGGUGGAAGAGUUUAUGAAAGAUACUGAAGAUAUGCAAGUAAAUACAACAGUUACAUAAAGGAUGUAGCAUCAGCACUGGAAUCAGACAGACAGUCCAAGCACAAAAUACAACAAAAAUGCUGAUGAAGAUAAUUGAGGAGUAGGUCACAUAUGUUUCACUGAAAUACUUGGCUUUGGUAAUUUAUCCAAACUUGCAUUGACUUCAGCACAAACCAUGAAAAAAAUGCAACAUACACCACAGUUUAAGCAGAUAUAAAGUUAUGAUGUACAUCCUGAAUGUCCAAGCAAAGAAUACAACAAAAAUGCUGAAAAGACAUUAUGUUAAGCAGAACAGUACAGAUAUGGGAGACCUUGGCCACUAUGAAGCAAUUGUUUGGUUUUUUACCACUGGAAGGAAUUACAUGCUGUCACUAAAUGGAGGAAAGCUAUUGGAUGUUAUUUUUAUUGGACUGCUAUAUGAGGAUUAUCUGAUGCUAAUACAAUAUUGGUAAAAAUCUCAAGGCAUGGAUUUGGCUCACUAGGGUUAGGUUGUAUUGCAUAUAAAAAGCUAAAGGAAGCACAAGAGGACACAAACAAUUGGUUAAACAAUUAUCUUCUACAACACAAAAAAGGUGUUCAGAAAGAUACCUUUCAGUUUUUAAUAUUUUGCUCCAAAGAUGAUUCAUUAUUCUUAUCAGCUGGAAUGCUUUGCAGGUGUAGCCUAACAAAAUAUCAAUAACAUAUCUAUUGAAAUAUUUGAUAAUGCUUUGCAUGUGUCAUCCAAUACAUCCUGACAGCCUAACAUUUCAGUGGUAGAAAGAAAAUGUAAAACCAAGGAUGUUAAGAGCCUACAGUAAAUUACCAAAUACGAAACUACUAUCAAUAAUCAGAAAUAAUGGAGCUUCCAUAUAUUAUAUAAACAAUGAGGCCUCCUGUCAUCACACACAAAUAAUACAUAAUAACAUUGCUUACUUUUCUCUGGGCUUUCAGUAUCAAGAACUCAUUUGUUCAAAGAAACUUUGUGAAAGCCAUAAUAGUCUAUAAUAUAUACGGUAUUGAUCCAUCUUCUUACUGGACUCACUCCCACUUGAACGAAGUAUGCAGUUGAGUUUCAUAUUGAUGCAAGUAAUGGAUAUUAUUACAAAUAUGGAUAAAUACUUUCACUAAGACCAUUUCAGAACAGAACGAAAGCAACAAUCUAAUUGACUCUCUAAAGCGUUCACAAGUUCUUUUUCCUGAGCAACAAUGUCUUCCUACACAACAAUUCUUCGACUGAUGCCACUAGCUAGCAAUGAAGCCACUUGCUUUUAGUUGCAACGGUAAACAACAGCCUCGAGGCCCUCGACUAUGUCGUCGCAUGGCAGAAAUUCUGCUUGUGAAUCGCCAGUAUGAGGACAAAUGUACAGAAUGAUAAUUCUCGUAAAAGGACCAGGAAGUGCUGCCGUAUUCUAAAUUACAUCUGUAUUAUUUUCGAUGUACACUGCACACAGCAAGCGAUACAGCAAUUGUCUGACACUGUCAUUAUCAUCGAGUUACUUUAUGAAUAUUACAUGAUGGAGGCUAUGACGUAACAGACUUAUUAAGCCUUCACUUAAGCUUCUUUCUCAAAGACAUAAGUACGAACUACAUCCAGGGGCGAAACUAGCACCUUUUUAAUGGGGGGGGGGAGGGGCUCGGGAUGAAAUUGCCCUGGAAGGACAUAAGAUGCCCUGCAGAUCAUAUGGAACAGUACUUACACUAUAUAUUUUUGUAAUACAUGUUGUAUUUUUGUGGCAGAACGCACUUUAGCGUACUAUUAAAUCUUUAAUGGCA